GGCGCCGAAAGCCAGAGCCCACAGCUAGAAUAGUGAAGGAGCCAAGUAGCGGGAGUAGUGUUAUUGUGAAGACGUCUUCGAGAGAGCAGUAACUAGAGAGCAAUUGACUCAACAUCAGUGGUGUCCACAACCAAAAAAGCACAUAAAUGAGACAUGGAAAUCGAUGCAGAGCUGAGGGACUGAAAUGGAAAUGAGAAGAAGUUAAAAGAAAAAAAAUGAGCGUGAAGAGAACCUUAGGAUCACAGAAGUUUCAAUUUCCAGCAUAAGUAAUGUUAAAGUUACAGGCCUUUUCUGGGCAUUGCCUGGCCUAUGGACACGUGCACAUAGGAACAAGCUACCAAACAGU